ACUUUGAUCAAUAGCUGAUCUGAGAGGAUGAUCAGCCACAUUGGGACUGAGACACGGCCCAAACUCCUACGGGAGGCAGCAGUAGGGAAUAUUGCACAAUGGAGGAAACUCUGAUGCAGCGAUGCCGCGUGAGUGAAGAAGGCCUUUGGGUUGUAAAGCUCUUUCGUCGGGGAAGAAAAUGACGGUACCCGAAUAAGAAGGUCCGGCUAACUUCGUGCCAGCAGCCGCGGUAAUACGAAGGGACCUAGCGUAGUUCGGAAUUACUGGGCUUAAAGAGUUCGUAGGUGGUUAAAAAAGUUGGUUGUGAAAUCCCGAAGCUUAACUUCGGAACUGCAAUCAAAACUUUUUAGCUAGAGUAUGAUAGAGGAAAGCAGAAUUUCUAGUGUAGAGGUGAAAUUCGUAGAUAUUAGAAAGAAUACCAAUUGCGAAGGCAGCUUUCUGGAUCAUUACUGACACUGAGGAACGAAAGCAUGGGUAGCGAAGAGGAUUAGAUACCCUCGUAGUCCAUGCCGUAAACGAUGUGUGUUAGACGUUGGAAAUUUAUUUUCAGUGUCGCAGCGAAAGCAGUAAACACACCGCCUGGGGAGUACGACCGCAAGGUUAAAACUCAAAUGAAUUGACGGGGACCCGCACAAGUAGUGGAGCAUGUGGUUUAAUUCGAAGAUACGCGCAGAACCUUACCAACACUUGACAUGUUCGUCGCGGCUCUAAGAGAUUAGAGCUUUCGGUUCGGCCGGACGAAACACAGGUGCUGCAUGGCUGUCGUCAGCUCGUGUCGUGAGAUGUUGGGUUAAGUCCCGCAACGAGCGCAACCCUCACUUUUAGUUGCCAUCAUUUAGUUGGGCACUCUGAAAGAACUGCCAGUGAUAAGCUGGAGGAAGGUGGGGAUGACGUCAAGUCCUCAUGGCCCUUACGUGUUGGGCUACACACGUGCUACAAUGGCAUUCACAAUAGGAAGCAAGAUGGCGACGUCAAGC
rnacentral:rRNA from 1 species